rnacentral:pre_miRNA from 1 species
CUCGGGGCGGGGUGUCCUUUAGCCUGGAUUGCGAGAGGGUGCAGGCCAGGCCAAGGGACCCCACCAGUGCACA